UACAGAGGAGGCAAGCGUUGUUCGGAAUUACUGGGCGUAAAGGGCGCGUAGGCGGCCUUCUAAGUCGAACGUGAAAUCCCCGGGCUCAACCCGGGAACUGCGUCCGAUACUGGAAGGCUUGAAUCCGGGAGAGGGAUGUGGAAUUCCAGGUGUAGCGGUGAAAUGCGUAGAUAUCAGGAAGAACACCCGUGGCGAAGGCGGCUCUCUGGUACGUGACUGACGCUGAGACGCGAAAGCGUGGGGAGCAAACAGG
rnacentral:rRNA from 1 species